rnacentral:rRNA from 1 species
UAUCUCUGUAGAGUCUGCAUAUCAAUAAGCGGAGGAAAAGAAACUAACUAGGAUUCCCUUAGUAACGGCGAGUGAAGCGGGAAGAGCUCAAAUUUGAAAUCUUCAAGGUUCUACCUUGACGAAUUGUAGUUUAAAGAAGUGUUUUCUGUUAGAUGAUUAGCUAAAAGUUCCUUGGAAUAGGACAUCAUAGAGGGUGAGAAUCCCGUAUUUGACUUAUUCAUUCUAGCGUUGUGAUACACUUUCAAAGAGUCGGAUUGUUUGGGAAUGCAGUCCAAGAUGGGUGGUAAAUUUCAUCUAAAGCUAAAUAUUGGCGAGAGACCGAUAGCGAACAAGUACCGUGAGGGAAAGAUGAAAAGAACUUUGAAAAGAGAGUUAAACAGUACGUGAAAUUGUCAAAAGGGAAGCGUUUGACACCAGUGUUGUUUUCUCGAAAAUCAAUUAAAAAAGGCAGGAUUUUGUGUUGUAUUGACUUUAUCAGCUUUCUGCACUCUUUUCUUGUCUUUUUUAAUGCACUUUUCGUUUAACAAGUCAACAUCAAUUUCUUUUGUUGUAAAAGGGUCAUUGGAAGGUGGCUUUCUUUUCGGAGAAAGUGUUUAUAGCCUUUGGCCUCUGCAAUCGGAGAGAUUGAGGUCUGCAGCGUAGAUCCUUCGGGGUUAGAUACAUUUGUGCUAAGUUAUAGCCGUUCAUAGACAACUUGUUGACUAUGAUCAGUCAUGUAGCUUACUCGCUUAUGCUAUUUUACCUACGCUUAGGAUGUUGAAGAUGUAGCACAUCAU